rnacentral:lncRNA from 1 species
CUGCUGAUGAGCUAAUAAAACAUUUUCGUUUCUUUUUUAGAUUUCUCCAGAUGGAACCGAUCACAUUUGACAUGAAGGAUGCCCAAGGCUCGACCAAACAUCAUCUGGUGUGGACUAACAUUCCGGAACAGAAUUUCAAUCCGCAAUUGGAGCAAGUCAUCAACAACGACCAUUCGUCCAUUUCCAGUCUUCCGCUCAGCCGAGAGCUUUUUUUCAUCAAAUAAUACCCUUGGAUUCUUGAAGAUAUCGUGCCAACUGGCAGGAUCGAGAAACACGACCGGUUGCUUUCCCAGUGCGAUACCCGAAGCAAGACGAAAACAGUUAAAGCUAUCCAGCCUAUUUGGAGCAUUACUCGGUCGUCCAGCUGACCCAGAAAACGGCCAAGAAGAAGAGGAAAUUGAGCAGCGAUCUCCGCUCGAGUUGGAAACUUCGCGAAGCCGUCGGCAGUGCUGACGAGGACAGCGACGAAACGGCCACUUCGCUGAACUGUCAGACGUGUGGAUCACGCCACUUACGCCCGGUAGCCGUUUCCAGAGUACGUAUCUCAUUUGGAAGAAGCUGAAGUGCAAGAACGAUUAAAUAAUCGUAGUUUACCAGUGUCGUUGUGGAUUCACAUUUUAAAACCACUGUUGAAGAUUUGAAGAUGGUCUGGGACUCUGGGUGCGUUGGACUGAAAUAAGCCGCGGAUUUUUAUUUACUCUUCUGUUCAGUACGUUUCUCACCUUAUUUUGUUUUUUAAUCAAGAAUGUAAAAUUUAUCGUGACUGAUCCUGAACAAAGAAUAAAAGUUUUUGGCG